ACAGAAUUCCAACCUCGAUCUUGG
rnacentral:siRNA from 1 species